UUAUUAUUUUUAUUUUUUUUCGGUUUCUAGUGAGAAGGAUACUUGAUUUUGGUUCUCUGAAUUUGAGAAAUUGAAUUUUGUUUGAAUGUUAGGGUUCAUGUGUAUUCUCGUUCUUCUGCAUAGACUAAUUUAAGGUUUAUUAAUUACUUUUGAUGGAUAUAGUUUAUAGUAAAACUUUUCAAAUAGUGAUAUAUACUUAAAAUGAGGCACAAAAUUGAUAUCAUACUUGUCCUACAAUGUAAUGCUGAUUUGAUAGGAUGACAUAGGAAGUAAAAGAGGAUGUUGAAGAUGAGAUAAUAUACAUGGUGCCCAAUUAUGUUUGUUGAUAGUAUGCCUUGAUUUCGUUUAGGAUAAAAUUUCUUAGUACCAUUCAUUUUGCUGUUAGUGUCAAGGUGGCAAGGACUACUGGACUUUCGUCAUCUGGGGUGCAAUUCAUGCUACUUCGCUUAGCAGCACGAUGCUUUGCUAUGGAGAAGAUUGAAGUUGACGCUACAAUUAUGAGUAGAUGUAAACUGUAGGUCACGAUAUUUAUGGGAAGCUCGAUAUAAAUUACAAGAACAAGCUAUGCACUAUGCAAGAUUGAUCGUCAUCUUUGCCUACAUUUUGUGAGCUACAAAGGAAAAAACCUAAUCAAUUUAUGGUUGUUGGACUUGUGGAUGAUCUCGACAGGUUUGAGAACUAUUCAUGGGAAAAAUUUUCAUUUGAAUACACGAUGAAUAUAUUUACACGUGAAAUGGGAGGUAAAUUGAAAAAUUUGGAUGUCGAAGGAGAGUUAUGUUGUCGAUAUUCGUUGCACAACUUUCCCCUCACUAUAAUGGUACGAAUAAAUUAUACACUUGACUUUGUAUUAUUUUUUAUAUAUAAUUUUUUGCUGCAAGACACUAAUGUUUGUUUCACAAUAAAUUUGGGCGUUCGAACCCACGUUACUCAUUA